CCAGUUGAAGAACAAAAAAAAUUAGAAGAAUAUAAAUUACACUUUUGAAAUCUUGUUUGUUAAUAAUAUAUAUAUAUAUUAUUUUUUUAAUAUAAAUUUAAAAAUUCUUUACAAAAAAUUCUCUAAAGUUAAUGCAGUUUCCUCCUGUUUUCCUUCGAAGCAGUAUCAGUUCUAGGUGCAAUCGAACUGUGCAGUUGCACAGAAUGCCAAGAGAAGGGCACAAAAUUUACACUAUACAUUAACAGGCCUUGGGCAUACCAAAACUUUGUGGAGUGUUGAUAGGGCUAGAAAUAGUACUGCUUCUAUGUCUAUUUUUCAGAAAUAAGAAAUAUAAAUUCAAUCAUUUUUGAAGUAAAUUACAUAAUGUUAAAUAAAUAAAACAAUAAAUUUAAAUGUUGUUAACUAACAUUCUACAUCAAGGAGUAUUGAGUUAAUUUUUAUCCUAAUUAUUUUAUUGUUGCAAUAUAUUCUACAUAUCUGUCUUAAUUAUUAAUUGAUUUAAUUACCUGUUAAUGUACAAAAAAUAUUAUUAACUCUGCAUUGAUACAAAAUAAUCAUUGUCAAAAUCUUUAUUGAUGAAGUAGAUUGCUGUUAAUAUUUAUUUUAAAUACCAGUGUUUUUUUAAUUGAUAAUUUUAAAAUCCUAAUUAAAUAAUUAAGAUAUUGGCAUAAAUAUUUAAUGAGUACUUUGAAAUUUGUAUUAUUGAUGAUUACAUUUGAAAAAGGGAUAAGUUAAUGUCAUUUGAUUGGUUGUACAGUUCAUAAUUUGGUAUUGUUACGAAUUAAAAAGAUUUUAUUUCAUUUAAAAUUUAUAAUUCUAUUAAUAGAUUACUUAAUUAUAUAUAUGUAUAAAAUAUAUAUAUAUUAUAUAUAUUACAUAUAUUACAAAAAUUGUAUUAUACAAAUGUGGCAUAAUAUAAUUUAUAUAUACAUCAUUACCUACUGGCCUGGUAAUGAUUGUUUUCAGAGACUUAUUUAUAAUUUACGAUUUGCAUUCUUGGUUAUUGAAAUUCUAUUUAAUUAGUCAUAAUCAUAACUGAGUACCAAUGAAAGAGAAAGUCCAUAUGAUUUACUCAAAAGGUAUGUUUGAAAUAUCUCAAUAUUAAUUAUAUUACAUUCCUUUUUUUUAAUUUUGUAUCUGCAGUUCGUUUUUAUGAUUAUAAUCAUGUUCUGUUAAUGUUUAGUUUAUUAAUCAUGUAUGAAAAUUGAUUAAUGGUGCUAAAGUUUACAUUCCAGUAUAUUGUUUUUUUUGUAGGAUUUACAAAUUUUUUUUGUUCAGACCAAUUUUGUAUUGUUAUUAAAAGCAUUCCCAACAAUGUUGUGAUAUUAUUGAAACAAUUAAUUCCGUCCAUAAAGAUUAACAGAUUAAUAUUCUUUUUUGAACAAUUUUUUAUUGAUAUUUGUAAUCAUGUCAUAUACUGAUGUUUGCAAAUUGUACAAAAGUUGAAAAAUAAAAUUCAUAAUUUAAAAUAUGUAUUAAAUUAGUUCAUUUCUCACAGAUGAUAUGCAGUGAAACCUCUCAACAACCGCCAUUUUGGCAGGGACUUUCUCUCCCCCUCCUUUUUUUUAACAAAAAGUGCAUUGAAAAUAACCACCAAACAGCGGUAUUUCUUAAUGUUCCCUUCACUGGUCAUUCAUUAUUCAGAGGUGUUACUGUUAACUAACUUUUAACAUUGUUCAACGAGUUUAUUCGUGCCUUCCUGAAACUAUCAUCUGAUAAUUACACAUCUUAAUUCAUUCAAUUGAAUAGAACUGCGGUUAUAUAAUCGCGUAACCAUUUGCAUGUCAUUUUGAUAAGUGUGCUCUCGUGAUCCCGGAAGGGAAUACAAAGCAUACAAGAGAUGGUGUUGAAUAAAGAGGAAUGAAUUCAACCAUUUGGUGGUGGUGACUCUCAAUCAGCAUGAAAUUGCUGAAGAGUUUAACAUGCUGCGUCCUGACGUCCCAUCAAUCACACAGCAAUUCAGAAUAAAUUCGAUCAGAAAAAUUUAGAUUAGACUGAUGGAAAUAAGGCAACGAAAGAUUUUCCAAGUGAGAACAACUCGGGAGGACUUUCUCUGGGAAACUGGCCAUAUUUAGGUGUUAGAGAUGUGAAGAAAACUCUACAUGGCCAGCCCGUUUGUGAGGGCCGGACCCAUGCCAAUUACCAGUAUUCAAUGAUUUUAAUAAUUAAUGAAA